rnacentral:lncRNA from 1 species
AUGAAAACUGAAAGUGUUGAGCUGCCAGCUCUGGGGAAGGGAGAAGCAGCAGGACCAUCCUUUGCAAGGUCGGUGACACAAGAGAUGCCAUCUGUAGGUAGCCACUCAAGACAAUCAGAUUUUUUAGCAAACUUUGUGGACAAAAUGUCAAAGGAAGAUCAGGAAAGAGCAGACGAGACGUUAGCUCGAGCUAUAUUUGCAAGUAGCACGUCUCUUUCCAUAGUUGAAAAUCAAUACUGGAAGGAUCUUUACAAGCUGAUUCGCCCAUCAUAUAAAUUGCCAUCCCAUUAUCGCUUAGCACAUCCUCUUUUAGACAGAGAGUACAACAGAGUUCAAACAAUGGUAGCUCAAAGGAUCAGCCGAGCAGAAUCGCUGACACUCAUGCCAAAGAGAUGGACUGAUACACAAGGAAAUUCUCUUCUCAGCAUUAUGUUUGCAACACCUGAAGCAAUAUUCCUCAAAGCAAUUGCUACCAAACCUUCUCAUCAUACUGGUGAAUACAUAACCAACAUACUGGGUGAAGAGAUUGAGAGUGCAGGUCCACCCAGGGUACAAGCCCUUGUAACCGACAAUACGAGUAGCAUGAGAGGCGCAGGGGAAAUAUUAAAGUCAACGUACCCACACUUAAUAGUAUUUGUCUGUUCUGCUCACGGGUUGAACCUUCUGGCAAAAGAUAUCUUAAGUGCCAGUACGAUGAAAACAAUAUUGGCAGCCGGCAAAGCAAUUGUGAAGGUAUUCAACAAUCACCCAAUAGCUAAUCAGGCACUGAAGAAAUUACAGAAAGAGAAGCAGGGGGAGGGAAAUGCCCUUUUAUUGCCAUCAGAAACUAGAUGGAGCUCAGCUAUCAAGUGUUUAGAGAGCCUGUUGCAUACAAUGAACUGUUUGCAGCACGCUUCAACAGAAGAAACGCUAUCCCAGAUUAUUCCUCAGAACAUUCGUAAGCAGAUUCUUGAUGACGUGUUUUGGGUUAAAGUUCAAGAUGCAUACAAUUUGCUACUACCAAUUUCAGAGGCUACUAAGAAGCUUGAAGAUGCACCAAUCCUUUCAUAUAUUCCAGAGAUGUUCAGAAAGCUGAAUGAAAAUCUAAUUCAGCUUUUGCCUUCUUCGCCUCUCUCUAAAGAAGAGGCGGAAGUAAUAAAGCAAGGAUUUACUAAAGUAUCUGAGAUAUGCUCCCAUCCAGUUCAUCUGGCAGCAAAUCUACUGGACCCCCAGCACUGUGGACAACAUUUAUCAGAAUCUGAUAUAGCCACUGCUCUUGAUAUAAUUAUGGAACUAGCUAAGAACAUCCCUAACAUUAAUGAAAGAGCUGUGAUGGCAGACAUUGCUGAAUAUCGUGCGAAAGAGAAACUUUGGAGCCAAGACAUUGUUUGGCGGGCAUCUGAGGCUGUUUCUCCCCUCACAUGGUGGAAGGGAUAUUGUAACACCCGGCAAUUGUCCAGGAUUGCUGUAAGGAUCUUCAGCAUUCCACCAACAGCCACUUCCUGUGAACGGAAAUGGAGAACUUUUGACGCAAUCAAGACAAAGAAGAGGAACAGACUGACAAAUGAACGCACUGCUAAGCUUGUUUCUGUUUCUCUCUUGCUGCAGCAGGAGAACCAGUUACAAGCGCAACUAGUGAACAGGAUGAAGUGUGAUAAAUUGCCUAUAGACUCGUUGCAGAUGAAAUCAUUGUUCAGUGAAAGAGAACGUGGCUCAACAAGUUCUGAGUCAGAUUCACCUCCAUUUGGAGUGGAAUUCACAAGAAGUGAGAGUGCCUCUACAGACAGUGAAACUGAAGGAUCCCCUCAAUGA